ACAUCCACCACCUCAGCCACGUGAAGCACAUCUGGUCCUGGUGCAGACACCACCUCAGCCACGUGAAGCACAUCUGGUCCUGGUGCAGACACCACCUCAGCCACGUGAGGCACAUCUGGUCCUGGUGCAGCCACAUCCUCCAGAGGACGCCAGGAGAGGAGAUGGACGUGGCUGCGCUCAUCAGGCAGGUCAGAAACAUGCAGAGGUCUGGCGUGGGGAGGAGGCAGGAAAUGAGGAAUCUCUAUUAUUAUCAUUAUUGUUAUUGUUAUUGUUGUCAUUAACUGUUGUUUUGGUUAUGGACUGCCACAAUUGACUACAUACAUAGGAACAGGGCAGGGGUCCUUAUGCAGUGACACAGGCUACAUACAUAGGAACAGGGAAGGGGUCCUUAUGCAGUGACACAGGCUACAUACAUAGGAACAGGGCAGGGGUCCCGGUCCAACUCAGCGAUGUGAUGCACAUCCCCAUCCCAAUCCUCCAAAGGACGCCAGGAGAGGAGACAUACACAGGACACGAGUGGGACACUGGUUAGGAACUGGUCAGGGUCAUGCGCAUCACUGACAGAGAGAGAGAGAAAGAUGGAGAGAGGUUAGAAACUGGUCAGGUUCAUGCAGAGGACUGGCAGAGAGAGCGAGAGACACAGAGAGAGAGAGAGAGAGAGAGAGAGACUAUGUAAAAAAACAAGUUAAUCUUAUUACCACAGAUAUUGGGAGCCUUAUUGUCAUUAUUAUUCUUGUUAAUAUGAACUCUCAUAACGUACUUGUAUGGAUCUGUAGGUUGACGGCGGCAGCCUAGCGGCGUUGGGAAGCACAGAUCGAGGGGCAUCGUCAAACUCCAGCAGAAGGCACUGUUGGACACUGUUGGACACUAUUGGAUACUGUUGGACACAAUUGGAUACUGUUGGACACUGUUGGACACUAUUGGAUACUGUUGGGUAUUGGUGACUUCCUGCCUUGAAUCUUAUACACAGCAAAUGCAGUGUGGAUGCAGUAAUGAUGCUGGAGAGAGAGAGAGAAAGAGAGGGAGAGGGAGAGAGAGAAGGAGAGCGAGAGAGAGAGAAAGAGAGCGAGAGAAAGAGAGCGAGAGACAGAGAGACCAUGUUAACCAUGACAAUAAUAAUAAUAAUAAUAAUAAUAAUAACAAUAACAAUAAUAAUAAUAAUUGCUAACUGGGCAGAAACCCAAAAGUUAGCCUGAAGGAUCAGGAUUGGGAGGGCAGCAGUUUUUAUUGGAAAAAUACUUAGAGCAGGAAGUCUUAACAGUACAUAAUCAUACAACCAGGUCGCAGGAUGAAGUCUUGAUAGUCACAUAAUCACACAACCAGGUCGCAGAAUGAAGGUUACAAACAGGACAAAAAAUACCUCAUUCAUUUGUAAUCCAACAGUCUUUGAUUCAGAGAGGACAGCAGGUGGACAGGACACUUACAGCAUCAGGAAGAGACACGGCUCAUCGGCUCAUCAGACGGGGGCUCCUUCUUUAAAAGCCGCCACCAAGGGACAUGAACUUCCCACAAAAACACACAGCUGUCCAACUGCCCUCUCCAGUCCAGGGUCAACAGAGCUUUUACUGCGCUUCCUCUUCAUCUAAAGCUUUCGAAAUCCAGCGAAGGGGACUUUGUCCAACUUCAUCACAUGUGUCUUAGAGGAGGGACUUCUGCAGGUGCCUAGAUUUUCCACAGUGUGUACCACAGACGUCAGUAAUUACAAUCACGUGUGUGUGUGUGUGUGUGUGUGUGUGUGUGCGCGCGUGUGUGCGUGUGUGUGCAUUUGUUUAUGUGUAGGCCUAUAUAUCUCACAGAACAUCAUUAUGGUCUUAGUGCAAAAACCCAGAAUUGAAUAACCACUAAUCUAUAUAUAUAUAUAUAUAUAUAUAUAUAUAAUUUUUUUUAAUAUGAUUUUUAUAAAUAAUAAUAUAUUACUUGGUGCAAAGUUGACAUAUCUUAUGAUCUCUAUAUCUCUAUAUCUAAAUAUAGUGACUUCCCUAGCCCGCCCUACAUCCUGACGGUGAGUUGCAUUGAAGUCCAAGGUUACCAUGAUAUCAGGUGGCCUGAUGCUAAGCUAACCUAGCGCUGACCUACUUAAGUGAUAAUUUAAGUGUAGUGUGGACUCUGUAACACACUUUACGACCACUUGCGGUAAACGCGGGGUGGUCCUCAGAGGGCAGUUACCUAAUAUUGCAUAAUAUCAUACAUUUACGAGCUAAAAGGAAGUACUUGGAGACAGAUUGGGAAGUGGAACGUUUUUUUUAUGAGAAAUGAAGGACUCUGGCCUCCCUGUUCUUUCCGAAACUUCAUUUUGUAUUUUUCCUUCACCACACCUUGUGUGUUACACACCCAAGCACAAGACAACCUGCGCUCAUCCUAGAUAUCUCUAGGUUAUUUCAGUUUAGUUAUUCAUUUGUUUGUUUUUGUUUUUGUUUUGUUUUGUUUGUUUCUCAUACAUUUCCAGCGCAUGUCUUGUGUCCUCAAAUAUACUACAUUUCUUGAAAAAAGGAACACGAUCAUUUUCUUUAAAAGUAAGCUAUUUAAGGGUUUCACAAAAUGAUGUAUACAAAAAAUGUUAUGUAACAAAAAUGGUAUCAUUUGAGGAUUGGAUGAAAAUGUGAUAUUGUGACAUUAUAGAGAGGCAGGCUUAACAGGUUGUUGUGGGUGUCUAUGAUUCAACACAUUUCAAUGCUUCAACCACAGUGCACCACAUGUAGGCACCCAGUCUAGGAUGUCCCAGAAACUCUCCAGGGUCCCUGGAUGAGAGUGGGCAUGGUGACGAAUCAUCAAAACCCUGUUCUCCGGGGCGAUGGCUCGUCACCAAGGAAACGGAAUGUUAUGGCGAGCAUAUGGCACUAGCAUUGUUCGUCUACAACCUUUAGGGGGUUGUGAAUGGGACUUAGCUGUGUAGACUCUUCUCUGCACCUGAGGUUAGGCCCAGUCUUAAAGAGGGACAAGUAAGCACAGCCACAAUUGUCAACUGAACUACUGUCCCAUCAGUGACUGUCAAACGAAUGUCCUUGUUUUUGGUUGCAUCCAAGAGAUGCCAGCAUUUCUCCUUUCCAAAGGGGCGAACACAGUCAUUAAUGUCAGCUGUCUUUGUUGUCCCAACAAUGUCCUUGAUAUUGGUAGUAUCCGGUAUGCCAGUUGCUUAUUAUUUAAGUAAAACACUUCCUUAUUUUGGUGUAAAGAGUGUAUAGUGACUCAUUUUGUGUGUGUGUGGUGAGCAGAGGUCUCAGAGGUCUCCCAUAUCUGGCCACCCUAGAGUCUGGUCACCUCUACAUCGAUGAGGCAGAGUGUGGGGGGGUGGGGCGGUUCUGUAGAUGGUGUAGGAGGGUGUGGCGGUGGUGGUGGUGGGGGCAGUUCUAGCACUGAGGACAGCUGGUGUUGUGGUUGGCGCUGGGAGACACAGAUCUCUGAGUAGGAGGGCGGGGAACCAUACUGGAGGUCUGACUCUGCAGGUCGGCAGUCCUGCACAAACACAAGCCAUCAUAAGCAUAUACCGGACAUCUUUCUUUUCACAAACAUGAAAUGUUCCCUCCUUUCUACAAUUCAUCCUUCCAUUCAUCCAUUAAUUCAUUCAUUCAUCCAUCCAUCCAUCCAUCUAUCCAUCCAUCCAUCCAUCUAUUCAUUCAUUCAUUCAUUCAUUCAUUCAUUCAUCCAUCCAUCCAUUCAUUCAGCCAGUCAGUCAGUCAGUCAGUUAUUCAAUCAUUCUUUAAAUUAUUCAGUUAAUUUGAUAAUGUUGAAUCCGUAUUUUAGGAUUAUAUUAUAUAUUAUUAUGAGUCAGCUUUUAAACACCACACAUGAGAUUGACAAGCAGGGCUGCAUGAAGACCAGAGCCCCUAAAACACCUGAUGUGUAUGCUUUAAGACCAGAGCUCCUAAAACACCUGAUGUGUAUGCUUUAAGACCAGAGAUCCUAAAACACCUGAUGUGUAUGCUUUAAGACCAGAGAUCCUAAAACACCUGAUGUGUAUGCUUUAAGACCAGAGAUCCUAAAACACCUGAUGUGUAUGCUUUAAGACCAG
ensembl:lncRNA